GAUCAUGGCUCAGGACGAACGCUGGCGGCGUGCCUAAUACAUGCAAGUAGAACGCUGAAGGAGGAGCUUGCUUCUCUGGAUGAGUUGCGAACGGGUGAGUAACGCGUAGGUAACCUGCCUGGUAGCGGGGGGAUAACUAUUGGAAACGAUAGCUAAUACCGCAUAACAGCAGUUGUUGCAUGACAACUGUUUAAAAGGUUAGGCAAUUAGUCAUCACUACCACGAUGGACCGU
rnacentral:rRNA from 1 species